GGCUUAGAGUUUGAUCAUGGCUCAGGAUGAACGCUAGCGGCAGGCUUAACACAUGCAAGUCGAGGGGCAGCAUAAUGGUAGCAAUACUAUUGAUGGCGACCGGCGGACGGGUGCGUAACGCGUAUGCAACCUACCCUUUACAGGGGGAUAACACUGAGAAAUCGGUACUAAUACCCCAUAAUAUUCUGGGAGGCAUCUUUCGGAGUUGAAAGCUUUGGUGGUAAAGGAUGGGCAUGCGUUGUAUUAGCUAGUUGGUAAGGUAACGGCUUACCAAGGCGACGAUACAUAGGGGGACUGAGAGGUUAACCCCCCACAUUGGUACUGAGACACGGACCAAACUCCUACGGGAGGCAGCAGUGAGGAAUAUUGGUCAAUGGACGGAAGUCUGAACCAGCCAUGCCGCGUGCAGGAAGACGGCUCUAUGAGUUGUAAACUGCUUUUGUACGAGGGUAAACGCAGAUACGUGUAUCUGCCUGAAAGUAUCGUACGAAUAAGGAUCGGCUAACUCCGUGCCAGCAGCCGCGGUAAUACGGAGGAUCCAAGCGUUAUCCGGAUUUAUUGGGUUUAAAGGGUGCGUAGGCGGUUUAGUAAGUCAGCGGUGAAAUUUUGGUGCUUAACAACAAACGUGCCGUUGAUACUGCUGGGCUAGAGAGUAGUUGCGGUAGGCGGAAUGUAUGGUGUAGCGGUGAAAUGCUUAGAGAUCAUACAGAACACCGAUUGCGAAGGCAGCUUACCAAACUAUAUCUGACGUUGAGGCACGAAAGCGUGGGGAGCAAACAGGAUUAGAUACCCUGGUAGUCCACGCAGUAAACGAUGAUAGCUCGUUGUCGGCGAUACACAGUCGGUGACUAAGAGAAUCGAUAAGCUAU
rnacentral:rRNA from 1 species